UAUUGACAUACUGAUGUUGAUGUCAUAUUUCCUUAUCUGAAUUAAGCUCUCGUGGGAAGUAUUAAGAUCUACUAUAAAUAGUUGUAGAGAGCCCAUGGAUACAUCGGCCAACGCCUGAGGUGGGGGACAUUUAAACCAAGUCCACUGUUGUCCUAUCUUUGUGAGUGACACUUUACCAAGCUGGUCAAAUACAAGAAGACUGAAAAGAGAUAGAACACGAGAUAAGCUACAGGAAAAGAAAAUAGAAGGUUUGCUAUUGCAUACGAAAAGGUGUGGAGAACAGGAAACCAAAACCUAAAUAGACAUUUCAUCUUUGCAUCACAAGUGGCACAGUGAAUCUGAAGUUGGAGUCAAGGGACUACUUAGCUUAAUAGUUUUUGGAUUUAGGAUUUUUUUCUGUUGGAGACUAACUUCAUAUCAUAAAGUGAUCAGGAGAAAGGAAAAGAGACCAUAUCUGGUGUGUUAUCAUUCCUUUACAACUGUGCCA